rnacentral:rRNA from 1 species
GUGGGGAAUAUUGGACAAUGGGCGAAAGCCUGAUCCAGCCAUGCCGCGUGUGUGAAGAAGGUCUUCGGAUUGUAAAGCACUUUAAGUUGGGAGGAAGGGCAUUAACCUAAUACGUUGGUGUUUUGACGUUACCGACAGAAUAAGCACCGGCUAACUUCGUGCCAGCAGCCGCGGUAAUACGAAGGGUGCAAGCGUUAAUCGGAAUUACUGGGCGUAAAGAGCGCGUAGGUGGUUCGUUAAGUUGGAUGUGAAAGCCCCGGGCUCAACCUGGGAACUGCAUCCAAAACUGGCGAGCUAGAGUACGGUAGAGGGUGGUGGAAUUUCCUGUGUAGCGGUGAAAUGCGUAGAUAUAGGAAGGAACACCAGUGGCGAAGGCGACUACCUGGACUGAUACUGACACUGAGGUGCGAAAGCGUGGGGAGCAAACAGGAUUAGAUACCCUUGUAGUCC